UGAAUACGAGAUGCUACGGCGUCGAAGCAGUGUAUGUCAGACUUCCAAGAAAAGCUCGCAAUGUCAUAAAUAAAGAAUGCCUGUACCAUAACCGACACAGGUGGGUAGGUAGAGUAUACUAAGGGGCGCGAGAUAACUCUCUCUAAGGAACUCGGCAAAAUAACUCCGUAACUUCGGGAGAAGGAGUGCCUUCUAUUAGAAGGUUGCAAUAACAAGAUCCAAGCAACUGUUUAUCAAAAACACAGGUCUCCGCUAAGUCGUAAGACGAUGUAUGGGGGCUGACGCCUGCCCAGUGCCAGAAGGUUAAAGAAGUUGGUUAGCUUUGGCGAAGCUGAUGACUGAAGCCCUGGUGAACGGCGGCCGUAACAAUAACGGUCCUAAGGUAGCGAAAUUCCUUGUCGGGUAAGUUCCGACCCGCACGAAAGGCGUAAUGAUUUGGAUACUGUCUCGGAGAGGGACUCGGUGAAAUAGACUUGUCUGUGAAGAUGCGGACUACCUGCACCAGGACGGAAAGACCCUAUGAAGCUUUACUGUAACUUGAAAUUGAAAUUGGACUUUAUUUGCGCAGCAUAGGUGGAAGGCGUUGAGAUUACUCUUGCGGGAGUACUGGAGCCAUCAGUGAGAUACCACUCCUAUAAUGUUAGAUUUCUAACUUUGGAUCAUGAUCUGGUCAAAGAACAGUUUCAGGCGGGCAGUUUGACUGGGGCGGUCGCCUCCCAAAUGGUAACGGAGGCGUACAAAGGUUUCCUCUGAACGGGUAGAAAUCGUAUCUAGAGUGUAAAGGCAUAAGGAAGCUUGACUGUGAGACCUACAAGUCGACCAGGGACGAAAGUCGGUCUUAGUGAUCUGACGGUGCUGAGUGGAAAGGCCGUCACUCAACGGAUAAAAGUUACUCUAGGAUAACAGGCUGAUCUCCCCCAAGAGUUCACAUCGACGGGGAGGUUUGGCACCUCGAUGUCGGCUCAUCGCAUCCUGGGGCGGUAGUACGUCCCAAGGGUUGGGCUGUUCGCCCAUGAAAGCGGUACGCGAGCUGGGUUCAGAACGUCGUGAGACAGUUCGGUCCAUAUCCGGUGUAGGCGUUAGAAUAUUGAGAGGAGCCUUCUUUAGUACGAGAGGACCGAGAAGGACAUACCUCUGGUGUACCAGUUAUCGUGCCAACGGUAAACGCUGGGUAGCUAUGUAUGGAGAGGAUAACCGCUGAAAGCAUCUAAGUGGGAAGCCCACCUCAAGAUGAGUAUUC
rnacentral:rRNA from 1 species